rnacentral:rRNA from 1 species
AUCGUUAUUAUUAAGAAAAGGAAAAAAAGGACAUUAUCUCUUCCGUGUGGCCGCUCCGCCUCCACCUCCUCUCCCUGGCUCGAGCCGCCGCCCCGCACCGCACCUUCUCCCUGGCUCCGGCCGCCGCUCCAUGCCCCACCUUCUUCCCUGGCUCCGGCCGCCGCCCCGUGCCCCACCUUCUCCCAUGGAAGCAGUCGCCACCCCUCCCCCACUAUCUCAUGCGCCCUGGGCCGCUCACCAUCCCCCAUCCUCAGCGCGCCGGCCGCCACCAUCCCCAGCGUGCCAACCUCCAGUUCUUCACCUGCCCCAUCGUGACGCCGCCCAAUCUUCUUCCUCCUGGAUUCUCCUAGCCAUGGCGAGCGCCACCUCCCUACACCAAGCUCGCUCUAGACUACGCAGAGCCGCCAACCCCCACCACCUCUCGUGCAGUACAACCCCGCCCAUGUACGAGGUUCAAAGACCUUGCAGAGAGAAGGAAAGGAGAUGUUAAGGUCGGCAGCUUCCUCGUUGCCAUCCUGGUAUGGUCGUGGCUUUUCUGUGGCACACCUCCCACUGCUUCUCCUCGCUGGACUAGUCGACCUACAAGAGAUCAACUCAAACAAAAAGUACUCAAGGUGGACUUAAGCUGAACUAGUGACGGUCUUAGAAACUGCAUGUUUGAAAGUAGUCAAGGUUCUUGAAAGCUAAAAAGUUCGAACCUUGUAAACGACAGCAAGCUUUUUGCCAUUUGUUUCACUUAUUGGAGCGGUUUGCUAAUGGGUACGAUUAAGUAUAACAUAAGUGAAUGAGAGGUUUGGUCCAACUAAUUAGUUUUCUCUGUAUUUUCAGUUUCGUGUACUGUCUUAUCAAUUCUACCGUAGCUCGGAACAGCAGGAGAAAAAUAAAGAAAGUUCAAGUAAAAUCUCAAAUAAAAAUUCGGUUCAAGUUGAAGCCCAGGAGUAUACCCAUAUGGAGUGGACAUGGCAGUCGAUCUUGUUGACGAUUCUCAAUAAAUAGAUGGUGAAGUUAGCAAACGGCUGAAUCAGAUGGUGCCUACCCCUGUAAGUUCACUUUUCAUUGAGUAGUUAGAUGAAGAUUAAUCAUUUUCAGAAAUUCAAAGGUUUACGGUGCUAAUACCCAUUUCUUUCAGAAAAAUUAUCAGUUACAAGUAUCUUCAUUUUGUCGAAAGUUCUUCGGUAUAGCCCGCUCUCCAUCAAAGUAGAAGAGUGUGUGUUGAUUUUCCCUCCCUUGUUCUGAUUGAUAUCAUACAGAAGCUGCUACAGAUGAAUGAAUAUGGUGCAGUUGUUCCAUUCAUUAUAUGGGCAGCAACCUUGUUUAAAUCCUCCUUUGGCUUGGCUGGAACACGAGUUUCAGUAAACAAAAGGAAAACAAAAUGUAGGUGUUCGUCGCAUGUGUCCAUUCAAUAAGGGCUUCGGUGAUGGUCCGCUGCUGGUGGCCGCCUCAAUGUGGUUAAGUUUGGCGUAGUCGCAUGUGUCGCUUGCUGUUGUGGCCGGUCUCCAGGUACAUAGCGUUGUUCCUAUUCAUGCCUGUGUAUGUAGUGUUGCUCCGUUAAAUCAUUUGUUCAUCUUGUUUGUUCCAACCACACUGGAUGCCCAGUACUAUUAGCUUGCACUAGCCUCGACAUGAGCAUCUCAAGCCGUUGUUAAUAGAUGUGAGUAGUACUGAUUGUUUUGCUUGAAUUGGCAUCUCAGAUUAUACUGGAGCAUGUGUUUUCACAGAUAGUUCAUGUUCCAGAUUGCCAAAAGUUCAAACAUAGUGAGAUGGAUGGGAAACUACGAGACAAAGAUGAUAUUUGGACAAAGCAAAAUUAGUAAAAGAAAGAAAACGCUAGAAGUUAAACUAGGGUAGCUUAAAAAGUUCAUGAAAAAUAAAUAUAAAAGUUCAGAGAAGAGGGUUGGAAAAGAUUUGGGAAAAGACACACACAAAAAAAACAUGGAAAAGGUCAGUUAAAAAAAUACUUGCCAUAAGUAGUUAAGAGUUUAUAUGGAGUGGUUAGCAAUUCAGUAACUAGAAAAAGGAUACAUCAGUUCAAAUAUACUUGCCAUAAGUAGUUAAGAGUUUAUUUGAUGUGGUUAAAUAAAUCAAGCUAAUUUUCUGCAGUUCUCGGGUUAGAAAAAGGUUUCACUUAACUUUGUUGAAGUUCAUCUAGAAUCUUGGAAUCCGAUGUGGUGUGUGGCAAGGUACGCACAGAAUGAUAUCUACCUCGAUGAGUGUAAUGUGUUUUCUCACUUCCAGGCCUAGGAAUGUUUUUUCAUUGGACAUACUUCAAAUAUUUUAUAGGUAAGUAAACCAAUCAUGUUUUUGUUGUUCGGAGGGAAAUCAUAAUAAGUUCUAAGGAAAUAAAUAUAGAAGUUCAUAUUUUAAAACAAAUAAAGUAUUUGGAAAGUAAAAUGAAGUAUUUCAAAGUACAGAACUUUUUAGGUUUCAUUGCAAAUUUGUAAUGUUACUGUACACGAACUCAUGCAUGCUAAUUGGUGGUUGUUGUGUGUGUGCAAGGUACAUCCAACGACAACGAGCAGGCGGCAAGUGUACUUAUGCGCAGCGGGACGGUGGCACAGAGUAGUUGAGUAGGUGUGCGUGGUGAGCAGCUACAGAACUGAUUCUGACACGGCAGUAUUAGUCCCACAUAGCCUCUCAACACCCCCUGCUUGAACCUUCACAACCCAGGUCGUUCACUUCCUCGACACGAGGCCGUUCGAUGAUGCAGCGCUCAAGCCGUUCACCCUUACCACCACAAGCCAUUCACCUCCGGUACACGAGGCCGUGCGACGACGCAGCAAUCACACCGUUCACCUCUGCCAUAGGAGGCCAAUGGAAACGCUAAGGAGUUGUGUUCUUUUUCAGUACAUGUUUUGUGUGCUUUUUAGUACACCUACUCAACGAUUCAAUGUCCAAUUUCCUCUUUUUACGUGUUCUUCCUAUAGCACAACAGGUGUUGUGUGUUAUGCCUUAAUAAGCAUUUGAGAAAAUCUUGUAUGGAUCUAAACUAGCAUAUGUUCUGUUCUAUUCUUGUAAAUGAAGCUCCACUUCUGUUUUGUUUGAAGUUACUUGACAUAAAAAUUA